rfam:Pan troglodytes isolate Yerkes chimp pedigree #C0471 (Clint) chromosome 10, whole genome shotgun sequence.
GUUUUAGUAUAAGUAUGUCCCAUGUAGUAUUUGGAAUAUACUUAUACUAAAA